GAGAUAUUAGUAAAGUCUUACGUAACUUUGUCAAAGUUAAAUCACAAGUGAAAACCCUGUAUAUCUCC
rnacentral:tRNA from 2 species